UUUCAGCGGUACACUCUCCACUUGUAGAGUAUAUCUCCAAGAUUGCGAUGAGGCAUGGCUCAACAUGGCUUUUAUCUCUGACUGAAUUCCAUCUGAUGAGACUAUCUGCAGAAACACAGACACCACACUUUUAAACAAUGGAUGACGUGUUGGGGUGAGGAAUCGAGGAGUGCAAGGUUCAGUCUUUCUGGGCAGGAACUUCUAUCUGUAACAGGACCCCAGAAAUACAAGAAUAUGCAGGUAC